rnacentral:rRNA from 1 species
UACAGAGGGUGCGAGCGUUUAAUCGGAAUUACUGGGCGUAAAGCGCGCGUAGGCGGCUUUGCAAGCCGGAUGUGAAAUCCCCCGGGCUUAACCUGGGAACUGCAUUCGGGACUGCAUUGCUAGAGUAUGGGAGAGGGAAGUGGAAUUUCAGGUGUAGCGGUGAAAUGCGUAGAUAUCUGAAGGAACAUCAGUGGCGAAAGCGACUUCCUGGACCAAUACUGACGCUCAUGUGCGAAAGCGUGGGGAGCAAACAGG